rnacentral:rRNA from 1 species
CCUACGGGUGGCAGCAGUGAGGAAUAUUGGUCAAUGGCCGGGAGGCUGAACCAGCCAAGUCGCGUGAGGGAAGACGGCCCUACGGGUUGUAAACCUCUUUUGUCAGGGAGCAAGGUGUAGGUCGGGACCUGCUGUGAGAGUACCUGAAGAAACAGCAUCGGCUAACUCCGUGCCAGCAGCCGCGGUAAUACGGAGGAUGCGAGCGUUAUCCGGAUUUAUGGGGUUUAAAGGGUGCGCAGGCGGAGGCACAAGUCAGCGGUAAAAUCGUGGGGCACAAACCUGCUCCGCCGGUGAAACUGUGGGGCUUGAGGGCGCGAAGGGUAGGCGGAAUGCGUGGUGUAGCGGUGAAAUGCAGAGAUAUCACGCAGAACUCCGAUCGCGAAGGCAGCCUACCGGCGCGCAACUGACGCUCAUGCACGAAAGCGUGGGUAUCGAACAGGAUUAGAUACCCGAGUAGUC